rnacentral:rRNA from 1 species
AACGAACGCUGGCGGCAUGCCUAACACAUGCAAGUCGAACGAGACCUUCGGGUCUAGUGGCGCACGGGUGCGUAACGCGUGGGAACCUGCCCUUAGGUUCGGAAUAACUCCCCGACAGGGGUGCUAAUACCGGAUAAUGUCUUCGGCCCAAAGAUUUAUCGCCUUUGGAUGGGCCCGCGUUGGAUUAGCUAGUUGGUAGGGUAAAAGCCUACCAAGGCGACGAUCCAUAGCUGGACUGAGAGGAUGAUCAGCCACACUGGGACUGAGACACGGCCCAGACUCCUACGGGAGGCAGCAGUGGGGAAUAGUGGACAAUGGGCGAAAGCCUGAUCGAGCAAUGCCGCGUGAGUGAUGAAGGCCUUAGGGUUGUAAAGCUCUUUUACCCGGGAUGAUAAUGACAGUACCGGGAGAAUAAGCCCCGGCUAACUCCGUG